rnacentral:rRNA from 1 species
GUGUCAGCAGCCGCGGUAAUACGUAGGGUCCAAGCGUUAUCCGGAAUCACUGGGCGUAAAGCGUGCGUAGGUGGCGUGUUAAGUGUGAUGUUAAAUCGUGGGGCUCAACCCUGUCGGUGCAUCACAUACUGGCAUGCUAGAGGACAGCAGAGGCAAGUGGAAUUUGUAGUGUAGCAGUGAAAUGCGUAGAUAUUACAAGGAACACCAAUGGCGAAGGCAGCUUGCUGGGCUACUCCUGACACUGAGGUACGAAAGCGUGGGGAGCGAACAGGAUUAGAAACCCUUGUAGUCC